CCCCCUUCACACGUGCAGACAAAGGGACCAAACAACACAACCAAAAUACUCACGGGCAAACUUUUUCAGCCGUGCCCAUGCUUCGUGGACAUUUAUGUUUAUGCACAUCGGCAGUAACUUACUGUAAGAAAGAUCUUUUUCUGCUUUUUGGCUCAAAUCGUGGAUUUGUUUUUAAUGCAAAAGUUGCGCAGAGUUGGUGCGUCAGCUCGCAAAGUUAAGCACAAAGCGGGGAAGAGCGCUCCUUUGUUCCGCCGAGUGCUUUGAAGGGAGAUCAUGGAUGGACAACUGCCUUCUCGGUUGCCCUAAACCUCUGCUGAAUCUACGAAGAUGCAACGAAUGAACUUGGGAAAACCUGUAUUUACCGGGACACUCGGCCUUGGAAAACUUAACGCACCACAGCAAAGGUUUUGUUUUGUGGAUUUGUGAAGAUCUUUAAGUUUUUGAAAGCGCCUGUUUGGAGUUUUUAAAUGAAAUUUUUGCUGCAGGCCUGUCUGCUGGCGAAUUUAUUAUUGGAAUCAUGAACAGGAAUAGGCCCUACUAAAAGGAUUACAAAUAAGUCGAGAUUGAUUUUGGGAUUUGGAUGAUAAACCCCGACUAAAACACAAAAGCAUGAGUGUCUUGGUGGGGGGGUGGGGAAGACAGAAGACACGUGGAGCGAGGGCCCCCCCAUCGUGCCAGGGGAAGGGGGAGCAACUCACAAUGGAGCAGCAGGAGCGGGCUGGUCGUGGGCGGAGCUCCUGGGGGCUCGCUCACAGACACCGCAUGGGGGGGGGGACGAGUCGGAUCAGCCCUGGAAGCCCCCUGCUGUCCGGCCCCGGGGACCCCACUGGACAAUAGGCGGCUGAAAGCCAGAAUCCAGCCAGAAUGGUCAGGCAGCGGCACGGCAACACGGAUCUCACGGGCCACUCUGCCGCCCCCGCCAAGCCGGCCGUCAUCUUUACACGCUGCCAAAGCAGGAGAGCUGGUGCUAGACGCCCGACGGGGACAACAGGAUGCGCCGGGCAUUAAACAAAAGCCCACGUGGGCCCAUAGCACGGAGCCAGUCGAGGCCCCCAACAAUGUGGUGUCCAGCAAAAUGCCUGUCUGAGCAAUUAGUGAGCGUUCGACCCAUUUUCCAUGCAUGGAAACCAAUGAAGUGGACCCCCCACCCAGGACGGAAAUUUUGAGGUACUUUGGUAACGGUCCCCUGUGCCGCGAUGACAUCAUUCCGGUCAAAGCGACCAACUCAAAAGAAGCGUGUCGAUAAGCAUGAGUUCAUCGAGGACUGAAGUCAGUCGGGAAAUCAGUGUUCCAGAGCUGGAAAGAGAAAGCGCAGGGUCAUAGUAAAUGGGACACAUAUCCCAGGAUGCACUAGGCAAGGAGGAGACACUCUGGGAGGGAUCACUUCACAGGGCGGAUCUGUGUGGAGCAGCAGCCAGCCUGAAGCUUAGGGCGUGAGUGAGAAAGUGAGGGGGGAGCGGUGUGGCAGCCGGCGGCCGUGGGGAGAAGCUGAAGAUGGGUGACUCUCGCAUUGUCACUUUGCGCUGGGCGUGUAAAAUGAGAUGGGGGACAGGUAUCGCACCAGCACUGACGUUCCAUGCAAACUGCCAUAGAAACACAUUUCUCUGUUUUUAAAUAGCAUUUCAUUACAAAGAUGUACAGUGUACGUUUGCAUAUGUGACAAAUAAAACUGUAAACUUGCAUCUUUUUGACUUAUCCCUGUUGUGUAAGAAAUACCGCUUGUUAUGUGCAUAUUAAAUAGUAUUUUCAUUGUGACACUGCUUGCAAACUGACAGCUUUGGUUUCAGGUUUGGGUGCAGGACUCCACUCAGCCAGGGUGAACGCUGACACCUCCCUGAUCAAAGCUCCAGUCACAGACGUUUGAUUUCAGGAUGCAUCUGACAAUAAAAUGUCUGUUGCCCAGUAAUCUUUAUUGGCUUCGCUGUUAAAGACGUCAUUUCCUACACCUGAAUGCACAACAAGCCAAACUUUCAGCAUAACUGAAGAAAACAGUGUUAAUUUUAAUCGCCAUUGAUUUUGCCAUAGUACAACAAGACAUUGUUUGUUAAUUAUCUUUCUGUUAAAUUAAAGUACUGCUGUACUUACUUAACCUGGAAAUAGGCAAUCACUUUCAAUCUGUAUAAGCUUGCUCACCCCCCCCCACCCCCAACUCAUUAAGCACAUUUGUAAUUACAUAGUUUGCAAUUACAUUCUCUAGUAUUAAACAAUGUAUCAUUCUCCCAAUAAGACAGUUCAUGUAACUUUAAAAGGGAGCAUUUGAAGACCAGUAAUCACAAAGAUCAAUUCAAAGGGAGGACUUAAGAGCAGUCUGAUUUGAGACGACAAGCCCCAUUCCUUCUGUAAUCACAGUUUAGAUGGCGUGAGACAUCAAAUCCUCUGCCAAAAUUAGGGGCUGCUGCGCGAUGAAACAGACGAUGACGUCCCGCUUUGAUCCGAGAUCUCAAAACUUAUUUCCUGGCCUGGCAAAGUGUCAACGAGCAAAUUCAUACACUCUCUAAAAGAGUGUGCAUGCUGAUAUACAAUACACAGAGUGCAAAAGCCUCAGAAGUAUAGACACAGUGAAUCAGGAUCAGGGUUU